CGGAGCCUGCGGGAGGCAGGGCGGGGGCCCGUGGCGCGGCCCGCGGGACGGUGGGUGGAGUUGGGCGACCGGGGAAGGGGAGGACCCGACAGGCCAGGUGACAGGUAAUUGUGACCCUCGGGCCCUCCCUCCGGCCUGGUAGGCACUAGCCUUCCUUCUUCCCCUUUCGGGGUGGAGGGGAGGUGGAGGAAAGACAGGGGGUGGGUCCAACUCCAGAGCGGGAGAUUGGGCAGCAUUUCUUUCAGAGCUUUCCAACGAAGUGGGCGAAGAUUCCGCCGGCUGCCCCGGGUAGAGCGCAAUUCAGCCAAAGAAGCAUAGAGGGAAGCCAUUCUUUCCUUCCCUAUAUUCAUAUUAUACAAGAUGCCUCCUCUGAACACUCUCUUCCAUCUGAUGAUAUUCUGAAUGGAUCUAACAGUUUCCCUGCCAACAUAGCAACACAGCCCAGAAAAAAAUGA
rnacentral:lncRNA from 1 species